CACCCUUGACUGAGGUUUCGGCCAAAUGAUAGGAAUGCUUAGUGGCGGACUGGUGAGUAACGCGUGAGGAACCUACCUUCCAGAGGGGGACAACAGUUGGAAACGACUGCUAAUACCGCAUGACGCAUGACCGGGGCAUCCCGGGCAUGUCAAAGAUUUUAUCGCUGGAAGAUGGCCUCGCGUCUGAUUAGCUAGAUGGUGGGGUAACGGCCCACCAUGGCGACGAUCAGUAGCCGGACUGAGAGGUUGACCGGCCACAUUGGGACUGAGAUACGGCCCAGACUCCUACGGGAGGCAGCAGUGGGGAAUAUUGGGCAAUGGACGCAAGUCUGACCCAGCAACGCCGCGUGAAGGAAGAAGGCUUUCGGGUUGUAAACUUCUUUUGUCAGGGAAGAGUAGAAGACGGUACCUGACGAAUAAGCCACGGCUAACUACGUGCCAGCAGCCGCGGUAAUACGUAGGUGGCAAGCGUUGUCCGGAUUUACUGGGUGUAAAGGGCGUGCAGCCGGGCCGGCAAGUCAGAUGUGAAAUCUGGAGGCUUAACCUCCAAACUGCAUUUGAAACUGUAGGUCUUGAGUACCGGAGAGGUUAUCGGAAUUCCUUGUGUAGCGGUGAAAUGCGUAGAUAUAAGGAAGAACACCAGUGGCGAAGGCGGAUAACUGGACGGCA
rnacentral:rRNA from 1 species